AGGGUCCUUCUCCGCGCUCGGGGCUGACUAACCAGCAAACAGCCACCUUGACAGCCCAGCUCCCACGUAGCAGCUCUGAUUCCUUGAUCAUUCCUUUGGAACACCUGAGAAGAAGUCCUAAAAUGACAUCCUUUUCCUUCCUGAGAUCUGGUGUUCCAUUGACAUUUGGGGAGACAAAUUUAGUGAUCUCAGGGUUUAACCCUGCAGCAGCUGCUUUCUGGAAGCCUUCUGUGAUAUCAGUUUGACCGUGCACAGCACAGCCUUUGGUCAUGUGCACAGAUGGAUUGCCACCUGGACUCCAGCUCACCACACUGCAGUCAAGAAGUUGUUCCAAGAUUUCCCUGGUGGUCCGGUGGUUAAUACACAAUGCUCCCAGUGCAGGGGGCACAGGUUUGAUCCCUGGUUGGGGAACAAAGACCCCUGUAUGCUUCCUGGUGAGGGCAAAAUAAAAUCAACAAAAACCCUAACUUGUCCCCAGUCAGACAGCUGGGUUAUCAUGAAUGAGACUCACAUCGUGAGUUCCUUUUUCAGGGAGCACAGCCUUGAACUGCUUGUGAUCCAUCGCUGAAACCCAAAUGCCUCCUAUAUCUGACCCAUUACUACACUUGUUUAUGAUCGGAAUGCUACUCUGGUACUAGUUAUUGCAUUAUAGUCAGCAUCAUUUUAAUCUUUAUAUAAUAUUAAUGACAGUUCUUUAUAUUUGUUAAACAUAUAGGCUCUGACAGUAAAGAAUCUGUCUGCAGUGCAGGAGACCAGAGUUCAGUCCCUGGAUCAGGAAGAUCUCUGGAGAGGGGAAUGGCAACCCACUCCAGUAUCCUUGCCUGGAGAAUCCCAUGGACAGAGGAGUCUGGCAGGCCACAGUCUGUGGGGUCGCACAGAGUCGGAUAUGAUUGGUGCCUGAGUUGGUGAUGGACAGGGAGGCCUGGCGUGCUGCGAUUCAUGGGGUUGCAAAGAGUCGGACACGACUGAGCGGCUGAACUGAACUGAACUGAACUGUACACUUUACACUGUAGUUUUGAUCAUACGACCUUCUUGUGAAUACGCAAAAAACAAAAAUAUAAGUGAAAGGAAUUGAGUAUUUUUCCUAAAACUUCAAAUUCUUUUGAAUUACUUCAAGUCAGAGUUGUUGGUGCUUGUAAUUUUCCAUACCGUUGUAUGGUGCUCUGGGCCACUGAGAUCGCUACUGAUUCCUCAAAUGACUGAUCCAUUGAUUCUCUGAUUCUCUUCAAGUUACUGUCACUUCUGAAUUUUGAUGUUGAUAUGUUUAAGGAGUGUAAAUGUGCAGCAGCUUUGUAUGUUAUGACUGCCACCUGGUCCACAGUAAUUAUGACAUGCCAUGGGCAGUAAGAGAGCAUCCAGAUCUUCAAGAUAUUAAAAUGUGGGUAAGUGUGCAGAUUAGAAUCAGUGGCAUACAGUAUCUGACUCACACUAUAUGCAUCUUAGUUGUGAGAAAAUUAUAGACUAACUCAAAAAAUAAAAACAGUUUUAUUAUAUUACA
rnacentral:lncRNA from 1 species